AUGCAUUAAUGUGGAUGGGAUUAUAGUCGGCCGGCGGUGCAAACAGUGGCCAAGAGCAGUGGACGAACUCCAUGCAGUCGGUCGAAUCCAUCAGGUCAGGGGGAUAUGUCAGGUGAUAGUGGGCGGCACGAUAAUCCAAGCAAGGAUAUUAUUUCUUAGUGAGUAAGUCUUCACAAGGAGGUACGUUUUAUUCAUAUAUACACAUUCACACAACUCAUAAAUUAUCACUCUCAAUACACUAAAUUCUAUUAUCCUCUUGAGUUAACUUUGUGAACAGACAUACUUACUCUUACGCCUGAGCUAUCCCCCGGCGGUCCAGCCGUCAAGCUUGUGGUGUUUGUCGUGUUUACUGUGCAGGAUCAGGACGUCUUUCGUGAUUGGGACGUGGAGAAAGAUCUUGGCGUUA
rnacentral:lncRNA from 1 species